rnacentral:rRNA from 1 species
AUGGGGGGUCUUGGUUUUCGGGAUACUCAUCUGUUUAAUCUUGCUAUGCUUGCCAAACAGGCUUGGCGCCUAACUCAAGAUACAGAGUCCUUGAGUGCUCGAUUAUUGAAAUCUGUUUAUUACCCCGAGUGUGACGUUUUGGAAUCUGAUCUUGGAAAGAAUCCCUCUCAAAUUUGGAGAGCGAUCUAUGAAGGGAAAGAAGUUCUAAAACAGGGCCUAGUGAGAAGAAUAGAUGAUGGAAGAACAACCAACAUCUGGAACGACAACUGGAUCCCUAGGGAUUUUAUGCUGAGGACAGUACAUCCGAGAGGUCCAAAUCCUCCAAGUUUUGUUGGCGAAUUGAUAAAUAAUGUGGAGAGGAGGUGGAACAAGGACCGAGUUGUACAACACAUGCAAGCCAUUGAUGCGGACGAGAUUCUCAACAUCCCACUAUCGGCGAUUCCAACGAGGGACAGUUGGGCGUGGCACUAUGAGCGGAAUGGGAUCUUCUCGGUCAGGUCUGCCUAUCGGAUGCUCAAGGAAACAAAAAGAAGAAGAGAGGAUCGGCUAGAUGGUAGGGGUCGUACAUCCGAUCAGCGUGAAAUGAGGAAGAAGUAG